rnacentral:rRNA from 1 species
GACGAACGCUGGCGGCGUGCUUAACACAUGCAAGUCGAACGGAAAGGCCAUGCUUUUGUGGGGUGCUCGAGUGGCGAACGGGUGAGUAAAACGUGAGUAACCUGCCCUUGACUUUGGGAUAACUUCAGGAAAAUGGGGCUAAUACAGGAUAGGAGCUCCUGCUGCAUGGUGGGGGUUGGAAAGUUUCGGCGGUUGGGGAUGGACUCGCGGCUUAUCAGCUUGUUGGUGGGGUAGUGGCUUACCAAGGCUUUGACGGGUAGCCGGCCUGAGAGGGUGACCGGCCACAUUGGGACUGAGAGACGGCCCAGACUCCUACGGGAGGCAGCAGUGGGGAAUAUUGCACAAUGGGCGGAAGCCUGAUGCAGCAACGCCGCGUGCGGGAUGACGGCCUUCGGGUUGUAAACCUCUUUCGCCUGUGACGAAGCGUGAGUGACGGUAAUGGGUAAAGAAGCACCGGCUAACUACGUG